rnacentral:rRNA from 1 species
UAGGGAAUUUUCCACAAUGGACGAAAGUCUGAUGGAGCAACGCCGCGUGAACGAUGAAGGUCUUCGGAUUGUAAAGUUCUGUUGUCAGAGACGAACAAGUACCGUUCGAACAGGGCGGUACCUUGACGGUACCUGACGAGAAAGCCACGGCUAACUAC